GACGAACGCUGGCGGCGUGCUUAACACAUGCAAGUCGGACGGAAAGGCCCUGCUUUUGUGGGGUGCUCGAGUGGCGAACGGGUGAGUAACACGUGAGUAACCUGCCCUUGACUUUGGGAUAACUUCAGGAAACUGGGGCUAAUACCGGAUAGGAGCUCCUGCUGCAUGGUGGGGGUUGGAAAGUUUCGGCGGUUGGAGAUGGACUCGCGGCUUAUCAGCUUGUUGGUGGGGUAGUGGCUUACCAAGGCUUUGACGGGUAGCCGGCCUGAGAGGGUGACCGGCCACAUUGGGACUGAGAUACGGCCCAGACUCCUACGGGAGGCAGCAGUGGGGAAUAUUGCACAAUGGGCGGAAGCCUGAUGCAGCAACGCCGCGUGCGGGAUGACGGCCUUCGGGUUGUAAACCGCUUUCGCCUGUGACGAAGCGUGAGUGACGGUAAUGGGUAAAGAAGCACCGGCUAACUACGUG
rnacentral:rRNA from 1 species